rnacentral:rRNA from 1 species
AGGAUGAACGCUAGCGGCAGGCCUAAUACAUGCAAGUCGGACGGGAUUGGGAGCUUGCUUCCAUGAGAGUGGCGCACGGGUGCGUAACACGUAUGUAACCUACCUUUAUCUGGGGGAUAGCCUCUCGAAAGAGAGAUUAAUACCGCAUAAAAUCACAGUACGGCAUUGUACAAUGAUCAAAUAUUUAUAGGAUAAAGAUGGACAUGCGGAACAUUAGCUAGUUGGUAAGGUAACGGCUUACCAAGGCACCGAUGGGUAGCUGGUUUGAGAGAGCGACCAGCCACACUGGGACUGAGAAACGGCCCAGACUCCUACGGGAGGCAGCAGUGAGGAAUUUUCCGCAAUGGGCGCAAGCCUGACGGAGCGACGCCGCGUGUGGGAAGAAGGCCUUCGGGUCGUAAACCACUGUCGAAGGGACGAUAUGACGGUACCUUGGAGGAAGCCCCGGCUAACUACGUGCCAGCACGCCGCGGUAA